rnacentral:rRNA from 1 species
GAUGAACGCUGGCGGCGUGCCUAAUACAUGCAAGUCGAGCGGACCAAAGAGAGCUUGCUCUCUGAGGUUAGCGGCGGACGGGUGAGUAACACGUGGGUAACCUGCCUGUAAGACGGGGAUAACUUCGGGAAACCGAAGCUAAUACCGGAUGAUAAAGAGAAAUGCCUGUUUCUUUUUUGAAAGUCGGCCUUGUGCUGACGCUUACAGAUGGGCCCGCGGCGCAUUAGCUAGUUGGUGAGGUAACGGCUCACCAAGGCGACGAUGCGUAGCCGACCUGAGAGGGUGAUCGGCCACACUGGGACUGAGACACGGCCCAGACGCCUACGGGAGGCAGCAGUAGGGAAUCUUCGGCAAUGGACGAAAGUCUGACCGAGCAACGCCGCGUGAGCGAUGAAGGCCUUCGGGUCGUAAAGCUCUGUUGUCAGAGAAGAACAAGUACCGGAGUAGCUGCCGGUACCUUGACGGUACCUGACCAGAAAGCCACGGCUAACUACGUGCCAGCCGCCGCAGUAAUAC